UAGUGGCGAACGGGUGAGUAACACGUGGGCAAUCUGCCCUGCACUCUGGGACAAGCCCUGGAAACGGGGUCUAAUACCGGAUAACACUGUCCCCCUCCUGGGGGACGGUUGAAAGCUCCGGCGGUGCAGGAUGAGCCCGCGGCCUAUCAGCUUGUUGGUGGGGUAAUGGCCUACCAAGGCGACGACGGGUAGCCGGCCUGAGAGGGCGACCGGCCACACUGGGACUGAGACACGGCCCAGACUCCUACGGGAGGCAGCAGUGGGGAAUAUUGCACAAUGGGCGAAAGCCUGAUGCAGCGACGCCGCGUGAGGGAUGACGGCCUUCGGGUUGUAAACCUCUUUCAGCAGGGAAGAAGCGAAAGUGACGGUACCUGCAGAAGAAGCGCCGGCUAACUACGUGCCAGCAGCCGCGGUAAUACGUAGGGCGCAAGCGUUGUCCGGAAUUAUUGGGCGUAAAGAGCUCGUAGGCGGUCUGUCACGUCGGGUGUGAAA
rnacentral:rRNA from 1 species